GAUGAACGCUGGCGGCGUGCCUAAUACAUGCAAGUCGAGCGAACAGACGAGGAGCUUGCUCCUUUGACGUUAGCGGCGGACGGGUGAGUAACACGUGGGUAACCUACCUAUAAGACUGGGAUAACUUCGGGAAACCGGAGCUAAUACCGGAUAAUAUUUCGAACCGCAUGGUUCGAUAGUGAAAGAUGGCUUUGCUAUCACUUAUAGAUGGACCUGCGCCGUAUUAACUAGUUGGUAAGGUAACGGCUUACCAAGGCAACGAUACGUAGCCGACCUGAGAGGGUGAUCGGCCACACUGGAACUGAGACACGGUCCAGACUCCUACGGGAGGCAGCAGUAGGGAAUCUUCCGCAAUGGGCGAAAGCCUGACGGAGCAACGCCGCGUGAGUGAUGAAGGUCUUCGGAUCGUAAAACUCUGUUAUUAGGGAAGAACAAACGUGUAAGUAACUGUGCACGUCUUGACGGUACCUAAUCAGAAAGCCACGGCUAACUACGUG
rnacentral:rRNA from 1 species